AAUCAACGCUGGCGGCGUGCCUAACACAUGCAAGUCGAACGAGAAAGUGGAGCAAUCCAUGAGUACAGUGGCGCACGGGUGAGUAACACGUGACUAACCUACCCUGGAGUGGGGGAUAACUGAGGGAAACCUUAGCUAAUACCGCAUAAUACCUACGGGUCAAAGGAGCAAUUCGCUUCAGGAGGGGGUCGCGGCCGAUUAGUUAGUUGGCGGGGUAAUGGCCCACCAAGACAGUGAUCGGUAUCCGGCCUGAGAGGGCGCACGGACACACUGGAACUGAAACACGGUCCAGACUCCUACGGGAGGCAGCAGUGGGGAAUUUUGCGCAAUGGGGGAAACCCUGACGCAGCAACGCCGCGUGGAGGAUGAAGUCCUUCGGGACGUAAACUCCUUUCGAUCGGGACGAUAAUGACGGUACCGGAAGAAGAAGCCCCGGCUAACUUCGUG
rnacentral:rRNA from 1 species